rnacentral:rRNA from 1 species
UUUGAAAGAUUUCUUCGGAAUGAAUUUGAUUUAGUUUAGUGGCGGACGGGUGAGUAACGCGUGAGUAACCUGCCUUCAAGAGGGGGAUAACAUUCUGAAAAGAAUGCUAAUACCGCAUGACAUAUCGGAACCACAUGGUUUUGAUAUCAAAGAUUUUAUCGCUUGAAGAUGGACUCGCGUCCGAUUAGUUAGUUGGUGAGGUAACGGCUCACCAAGACCGCGAUCGGUAGCCGGACUGAGAGGUUGAACGGCCACAUUGGGACUGAGACACGGCCCAGACUCCUACGGGAGGCAGCAGUGGGGGAUAUUGCGCAAUGGGGGCAACCCUGACGCAGCAACGCCGCGUGAAGGAUGAAGGUUUUCGGAUUGUAAACUUCUUUUAUUAAGGACGAAACUUGACGGUACUUAAUGAAUAAGCUCCGGCUAACUACGUGCCAGCAGCCGCGGUAAUACGUAGGGAGCAAGCGUUGUCCGGAUUUACUGGGUGUAAAGGGUGCGUAGGCGGCUUUGCAAGUCAGAUGUGAAAUCUAUGGGCUCAACCCAUAAACUGCAUUUGAAACUGUAGAGCUUGAGUGAAGUAGAGGCAGGCGGAAUUCCCCGUGUAGCGGUGAAAUGCGUAGAGAUGGGGAGGAACACCAGUGGCGAAGGCGGCCUGCUGGGCG